rnacentral:rRNA from 1 species
GACAGAGGGUGCAAACGUUGCUCGGAAUCACUGGGCGUAAAGGGCGUGUAGGCGGGGACGGUAAGUCGGGGCGUGAAAAUCCCGAGGCUCAACCUCGGGUCUGCAGUCGAUACGGGCAAACUAGAGUAUUGCAGGGGAGACUGGAAUUCCUGGUGUAGCGGUGAAAUGCGCAGAUAUCAGGAGGAACACCGGUGGCGAAGGCGGGUCUCUGGGCAAUAACUGACGCUGGAGGAGCGAAAGCGUGGGGAGCGAACAGG